CUGCGAGUGAAGCGGGAAAAGCUCAAAUUUAAAAUCUGGCGGUCUUCGGCCGUCCGAGUUGUAAUCUGGAGAAGCGUCUUCCGCGCUGGACCGUGUACAAGUCUCUUGGAACAGAGCGUCAUAGAGGGUGAGAAUCCCGUCUUUGACACGGACUACCAGUGCUUUGUGAUGCGCUCUCGAUGAGUCGAGUUGUUUGGGAAUGCAGCUCAAAAUGGGUGGUAAAUUCCAUCUAAAGCUAAAUAUUGGCGAGAGACCGAUAGCGAACAAGUACCGUGAGGGAAAGAUGAAAAGCACUUUGGAAAGAGAGUUAAACAGUACGUGAAAUUGCUGAAAGGGAAACGCUUGAAGUCAGUCGCGUUUGCUAGAACUCAGCCUUGCUUCUGUGAGGUGCACUUUCUAGUGAACGGGCCAGCAUCAGUUUCGGCUGCCGGACAAAGGCCUCGGGAAUGUGGCACCUUCGGGUGUGUUAUAGCCCUUGGUCGCAUACGGUGGCUGGGACUGAGGAUCUCAGCACGCCUUCAUGGCGGGGGUUCGCCCACCUUCGUGCUUAGGAUACUGGCGUAAUGGCUUUAAACGACCCG
rnacentral:rRNA from 1 species